rnacentral:rRNA from 3 species
GGACUACCCGGGUAUCUAAUCCCGUUCGCUCCCCUGGCUUUCGCGUCUCAGCGUCAGGUGGGGUCCAGGAGCCCGCUUUCGCCACGGGCGUUCCUUCCGAUCUCAACGCAUUUCACCGCUCCACCGGAAGUUCCGGCUCCCCCUACCCCCCUCCAGGCCGGUCGUAUCGGUGCCACUUCCCCGGUUAAGCCGGGGGCUUUCAACAUCCGACGUGCCGGCCCGCCUACACGCGCUUUAAGCCCAGUGAUUCCGAAUAACGUUCGCACGGUUCGUCUUACCGCGGCUGCUGGCAC